GGGAUAACCUCGGGAAACUGGGGCUAAUUCCCGAUAGGCGAAGAUCUCUGGAAUGAGUUUUCACCUAAAAGACGCUAAAGUUAUGCUCUUUAGCACCGCCCAAGGAUGGGGCCGCGACCGAUCAGGUUGUUGGUGAGGUAAUGGCUCACCAAGCCUUUUACCGGUGCGGGCCGUGGGAGCGGGAGCCCGGAGAUGGGCACUGAGACAAGGGCCCAGGUCCUACGGGGCGCAGCAGUCGCGAAAACUUUGCAAUAAGCGAAAGCUUGACAGGGCUAUCCCGAGUGCCAUCCGCUGAGGAAGGCUUUUACCCAGUCUAGAACGCUGGGGGAAUAAGGAGAGGGCAAGUCUGGUGUCAGCCGCCGCGGUAAUACCAGCUCUCCGAGUGGUGUGGAUGUUUAUUGGGCCUAAAGCAUCCGUAGCUGGCUAAGUUAGUCCCCUGUUAAAUCCACCGAAUUAAUCGUUGGAUUGCGGGGGAUACUGCUUAGCUAGGGGACGAGAGAGGCAGACGGUAUUCCCGGGGUAGGGGUGAAAUCCUAUAAUCCCGGGAAGACCACCAGUGGCGAAGGCUGUCUGCUAGAACGCGCCCGACGGUGAGGGAUGAAAGCUGGGGGAGCGAACCGGAUUAGAUACCCGGGUAGUCCCAGCUGUAAACGAUGCAGACUAGGUGUUUGGACGGCCACGUGCCGUUCUAGUGCCGCAGGGAAGCUGUUAAGUCUGCCGCCUGGGGAGUACGAUCGCAAGAUUGAAACUUAAAGGAAUUGGCGGGGGAGCACCACGAGGGGUGAAGCUUGCGGUUUAAUUGGAGUCAACGCCGGAAAUCUCACCGGGAGCGACAGCAGAUUGAAGGCCAGAUUAAAGGUCUUGCCAGACAAGCUGAGAGGAGGUGCAUGGCCGUCGCCAGUUCGUGCCGUGAGGUGUCCUGUUAAGUCAGGCAACGAUCGAGACCCGCAUCCUCUGUUGCAACUAGCUUUGUGCUGGGCACACUGAGGAGACCGCCACUGAUAAAGUGGAGGAAGGAGCGGGCCACGGCAGGUCAGUAUGCCCCGAAUCUCCCGGGCCACACGCGAGCUGCAAUGGCAGGUACAAUGAGUUCCGACCUCGAAAGGGGAAGGCAAUCCCUAAAGCCUGCCGUAGUUGGGAUCGAGGGCUGUAACUCGC
rnacentral:rRNA from 1 species